rnacentral:rRNA from 1 species
UGUGCCUACGGGGGGCAGCAGUGGGGAAUUUUGGACAAUGGGCGCAAGCCUGAUCCAGCUAUUCCGCGUGUGGGAAGACGGCCUUCAGGUUGUAAACCACUUUUGUAGAGAACGAAAAGUCUGUUGAUAAUACCGAUAGACGAUGGCGGUACUCUAAGAAUAAGCACCGGCUAACUACGUGCCAGCAGCCGCGGUAAUACGUAGGGUGCGAGCGUUAAUCUGAAUUACUGGGCGUAAAGGGUGGGCAG